AUUGAACGCUGGCGGCAGGCCUAACACAUGCAAGUCGAACGGUAACAGGAUGACGCAUGCUUCUUUGCUGACGAGUGGCGGACGGGUGAGUAAUGUCUGGGAAACUGCCUGAUGGAGGGGGAUAACUACUGGAAACGGUAGCUAAUACCGCAUAACGUCGCAAGACCAAAGAGGGGGACCUUCGGGCCUCUUGCCAUCGGAUGUGCCCAGAUGGGAUUAGCUAGUAGGUGGGGUAACGGCUCACCUAGGCGACGAUCCCUAGCUGGUCUGAGAGGAUGACCAGCCACACUGGAACUGAGACACGGUCCAGACUCCUACGGGAGGCAGCAGUGGGGAAUAUUGCACAAUGGGCGCAAGCCUGAUGCAGCCAUGCCGCGUGUAUGAAGAAGGCCUUCGGGUUGUAAAGUACUUUCAGCGGGGAGGAAGGGAGUAAAGUUAAUACCUUUACUCAUUGACGUUACCCGCAGAAGAAGCACCGGCUAACUCCGUG
rnacentral:rRNA from 1 species